rnacentral:tRNA from 1 species
CAGAACGUAGCUAAAAUAGAAUAGCAUCUCCCUUACACUGAGAAGACACCCGUGCAAAUCGGGUCGGACUGA